CUUUUUCCACAAUUUGAUUUUGUACAAUGUCCCUUUUUCAAGUUUAAUAAGUGGACAUAUAUACUCAAUGCUUACUCAAAUUUGCAUAUGCAUUGUAUAAAAAAGCUUAUGAAUUUUAAGGAGAAAGAUGGCUUUUCAUUUUGACCGGUGAUGAAUUGGACUAAUUAUACUACUCACCAAUGGCAUGGAAUCUUUGAGUUAAGGUGAAAAGGGUUGCAUUGGUGAGCUUCUUUUGUAUUUCUCUUGCCUUUCAAAGGGCACGAGACUGAGGAUGUAUACUUUUAUAAUGCCUGGUCUACAUGAGAUGGAGUUUCUACUAAUGAACAAUUAGAUGCUUGCAGUGCACACAAGACUGAGACAGGGCUGAUGAAUAUCAUCAUAUGUAAUAACAUUAUAACCUUAGUUCACCAAGUUCAAGGUCCUCAAUGUUUUUCUUUUAAUAUGUUUUUUUUAUUUAUUUAAA